UCUCCGUCCGUCCGUCCGUCCGUCUCUUGUAGAGCCUCAGGGCUUGUGUUUGUAGAUGAGUUCUGGCUGCAGCACGAUCGAUACAAACACUGCGAGUUGUGCGUCCCUGGUUCCCCUCUGUCUACACACACAGACACUCCGUUCAUUUACUCCUGGCUUUCGUGCAACAUGUGGUUCGGCGCCCAGCAGUUUGUGAAGUGCUCGAGUUCUUGCUCGCGGACUUUCUUUGUUAAUGAAAUGUAUGUUUGCUGCCUCGGUUGUCUGACAGUUUAUAAUGCGGAGAUGAAGAACAUCUGUGUUCAUGCUUAACGUACAAAAGCAAAAGCUAUUGAAGAUGUUUCAAAAAAUAAGCAUUUGAACCAGCGCCGGUCCCGUGAAUUAGCAUAUCUGCCGGUUCACGCUGUCUGGUCUCUCCUCAUGUUUUGAUGUGUUGGAUGCGUGUGGGAGGAAAGGCAACAGGGUGCGCGUGUGACCAGCAGAAGAGUGUGCAUCUGAAGUGCUGGGUGAGUACAAAGGGACAUUUACGCCUGUGUCCACCGAGCACAAAGCGGAGCCUUCAGUCUGCAGGCUGGAGAGAGCUGGAGGGCGAGAUCGCCCCCUCCUACUCUCAGACUCGGUGUAUCAUCCACACCUCUCUCUCUCUCUCUCUCUCUGUUUCUCUCUCUUCUUCCACUUUAAUCCCUAAUGUUGGUUCUGGUCCAUCGUGGAUCCAUGCUUGGCCUCCUCCCUUCGCACAAGUGUCAUUCUCCACAUACGCAUGCACACAAGCUCACCCUCGCUCCUCUACGCUUAUGACUGACAGCACAAAGCGGUCAUGGACGUUACACACAUCUUCACACAAUGAGACAAUGAAGCGAAGUAGAAAACUAGAAAAGUUCCUCAGGAUCAUUUUGGUUUGACAAAGCCUUGAAAAACGCCUCGACAGUGUCUAAAAUAAUUUAAUUACAUAAAUAUUCUGGAUUCAGUGCAACUCUCUCUCUUAUGCACAACAAAAAUGUAUUUGUUUAAAAAAAAAUUCAAUUCAAUUCGGAAUAUGGGUUAGUCAGGCAUGUUCAGAGAAGGUGAAUGAGAUCAAUCUGUACACAUUAAAAUACUCAAUAGUUAAUAGUCACAACAUAAAUAAUGUUUCUGUGUGAUUUAUGAAAAACACAUCAGCAUUUUCUGCGCAAAAUUAUGUUUUGACAUUAUACCAGUUAUUAUUUUGACAUGACAAAGUUACACCAUAAACCCUAAAGUGACUGAAAGCUAUCAUUUAAACAACUUUACGGCUCAAAAACAUAGGUUCGUAUAAAGCUUCACAUUUCGACUUUUAUCUAAAAAAUGUCUUUCUUUGCUUUUUAGUAAAUGCCUCAAUGCCACCUUGCUCUUCGUUUUUGUUUUUAGAAAACAAACAUAUAUUUUAUAGGAGACUAUUCGUGCUUGUGUGAAAGACACAAGCAGACCCUGAGUCAGCUUUGUAUUUGUCAGAGGUGGUCUCAUGGAUUUUACCCACUGUCCUCCACAUGGCUGUGCUGUGGGCUUCUGUUAGCAUCGGUGCUGCGGUUCUGGAUCCACAAAUGCUGACCCUCGAUUAGCCUGGACCUGCAUGUGACAUGCCUUCCUGAUCAGGAGAUAUUAAUCAACGCUAGUCUCACAGUGGGUAUAAAAACACAGCUCUGGCACUGACAGAAAACUGUUCUGCGGAGAUGACACUCGCUGCUGACUGUAUUUAUGCUGCUGUUUUCAGCACAUUUAGAAAUUUGUCAUCGAGAUUUAAGAGUAGGGUGCAUUUUAUAACACAGCUCCUUAAAGCUGAAGGGGACAGCUCACCCAGAAAUGCUAAUUUUACCGUAACUCAGUUACCCUUGUGUCAUUUCAAACAUGCAUGAAAAUUUUUAAAAGUUUUUUUUUUUCCCACACAAUGAAUGUCAGUGGGGUCAGAAGUUGUUUGUACGUCAACAUUCUUCAAAACCGAUUCUUUUGUGAACAUCCUCUUGCACUUUUUAAUAAAUUGUGAUA